rnacentral:rRNA from 1 species
ACCUGGCUCAGGACGAACGCUGGCGGCGUGCCUAAUACAUGCAAGUCGUGCCGACUUGAUGGAGUGCUUGCACUCCUGAUGGUUAGCGGCGGACGGGUGAGUAACACGUAGGCAACCUGCCCUCAAGACUGGGAUAACUACCGGAAACGGUAGCUAAUACCGGAUAAUUUAUUUUGCAGCAUUGUGGAAUAAUGAAAGGCGGAGCAAUCUGUCACUUGAGGAUGGGCCUGCGGCGCAUUAGCUAGUUGGUGGGGUAACGGCCCACCAAGGCGACGAUGCGUAGCCGACCUGAGAGGGUGAACGGCCACACUGGGACUGAGACACGGCCCAGACUCCUACGGGAGGCAGCAGUAGGGAAUCUUCCGCAAUGGGCGAAAGCCUGACGGAGCAACGCCGCGUGAGUGAUGAAGGUUUUCGGAUCGUAAAGCUCUGUUGCCAAGGAAGAACGUCUUCUAGAGUAACUGCUAGGAGAGUGACGGUACUUGAGAAGAAAGCCCCGGCUAACUACGUGCCAGCAGCCGCGGUAAUACGUAGGGGGCAAGCGUUGUCCGGAAUUAUUGGGCGUAAAGCGCGCGCAGGCGGUUCUUUAAGUCUGGUGUUUAAACCCGAGGCUCAACUUCGGGUCGCACUGGAAACUGGGGAACUUGAGUGCAGAAGAGGAGAGUGGAAUUCCACGUGUAGCGGUGAAAUGCGUAGAUAU